rnacentral:rRNA from 1 species
AGUGGCGCACGGGUGCGUAACGCGUAUGCAAUCUGCCCUUUUCAGGAGGAUAGCCCUUAGAAGUGAGGAUUAAUACUCCAUAGUAUUAUUGAAUUGCAUGAUUUAAUAAUUAAAGCUUCGGCGGAAAAGGAUGAGCAUGCGUCCCAUUAGCUAGUUGGUAAGGUAACGGCUUACCAAGGCGACGAUGGGUAGGGGGCCUGAGAGGGUUAUCCCCCACACUGGUACUGAGACACGGACCAGACUCCUACGGGAGGCAGCAGUGAGGAAUAUUGGUCAAUGGAUGAGAGUCUGAACCAGCCAUGCCGCGUGCAGGAUGACUGCCCUAUGGGUUGUAAACUGCUUUUAUAUAGGAAGAAACCCUUUUACGUGUAGAAGGUUGACGGUACUAUAAGAAUAAGGACCGGCUAACUCCGUGCCAGCAGCCGCGGUAAUACGGAGGGUCCAAGCGUUAUCCGGAUUUAUUGGGUUUAAAGGGUACGUAGGCGGAGCUUUAAGUCAGUAGUGAAAGCCCAUUGCUUAACAAUGGAACUGCUAUUGAUACUGGAGUUCUUGAAUGUAGUUGAAGUAGGCGGAAUACGGCAUGUAGCGGUGAAAUGCAUAGAUAUGCCGUGGAACACCAAUCGCGAAGGCAGCUUACUAAGCUAUAAUUGACGCUGAUGUACGAAAGCGUGGGGAGCGAACAGGAUUAGAUACCCUGGUA